AGCGAACGUUGGCGGCAGGCUUAACACAUGCAAGUCGAACGCACCUUCGGGUGAGUGGCGGACGGGUGAGUAAGGCAUGGGAAUCCUACCCAGUGGUGGGGAAUAACUGAUGGAAACAUCAGCUAAUACCGCAUAAUCCAUAUUGGCAAAGCUUUUGCGCCAUUGGAUGGGCCCAUGUAUGAUUAGAUAGUUGGUGAGGUAAUGGCUCACCAAGUCUACGAUCGUUAGCUGGUCUGAGAGGAUGAUCAGCCACACUGGAACUGAGACACGGUCCAGACUCCUACGGGAGGCAGCAGUGGGGAAUAUUGCGCAAUGGGGGCAACCCUGACGCAGCCAUGCCGCGUGUGUGAUGAAGGUUUUAGGACUGUAAAGCACUUUCAAUAGAGAAGAUAAUGACGGUAUCUAUAUAAGAAGUCCCGGCUAACUCCG
rnacentral:rRNA from 1 species